CGAAGUUGUGAAUUGUGGCCAACUUUUUGGGCGAAAAGUGCCACGUGUGGCGUCGAGUGUCAUCUGUCGAAGGAACGUGCAAACGCCGGAAUACAAAAAUUCUCCCCUCCACACGCUCGUCGAUCCCAUCGCACACUCUAACCGCCAUUUCUGGCGCGGCUCCUAUCGGGUCCCUUAUUUCGUCGACGAAAAAAUGGGGAGGUGGGUGAACUGGAAGAAUGCAGUCUCAAGCCUCCGCGACCUAACCCAGUGAAAUGAAUUGGAGGACCGUGCCCCGACCGUGAAAAUCGACGCCAGAAAAAUAUUUUCCCGGCCUUCGUGCCCCGGGCAACGAUGCCGAUCUUUUGCGCAAUCAUAGGUCUGCUGAAGCUGGUGAUACUUCUGAUUCUAACCGCAUUCCUGUUCUCUCUCGCUGCCGUAACACGGUUGAUGGAGAUGACUGUCGUCGUAAUGUAUCCGGUGCCCAUUUUCGUGCUCAGACUGUUUUCGGGAGUAGUCGUUUUAAUUUUUGACACCUGGUUGUCCGCAGUGGUUGGUUAAACAGACGGCCGGCGUAACCGUCGUCACCUACGGCCGAAUCUGCACGCUGGAGUGUUCACCGAUCGAGAUCGAUAUAAGGGCACCGGAAGUCAAGUACGAGAGGAGCGCGUUGCCAGGUUUGGUGCACGAAACGGUACCCGUGGUGGCUGCAGCAGUCGCCGAGGAAUUGGAAACCGUAGGGUCAACCAUGGGGCCAACCAUGGCGGCGAUCGCAGAGUUAACCAUAGAGCCGGCCGAGGCGGAAGAAGAAAACGGCGGCGAGACUGCUUCGCAGGUCACCUAACCCAACUUUUCACGAGACUUUAUGGAAAUUUUCGUGGUUCCAAAAUUCAUGCUCGCAUCUGUGUAAAUUAUUGUUAUUACGAUGCAUGUUUUUUAAAUAAACGAACCUCCUCGGUAGG